rnacentral:rRNA from 1 species
UACGAGGGGGGCAAAUGUUGUUCGGAAUCACUGGGCGUAAAGGGUGCGUAGGCGGGUCUUUAAGUCAGGGGUGAAAUCCUGGAGCUCAACUCCAGAACUGCCUUUGAUACUGAAGAUCUUGAGUCCGGGAGAGGUGAGUGGAACUCCGAGUGUAGAGGUGAAAUUCGUAGAUAUUCGCAAGAACACCAGUGGCGAAGGCGGCUCACUGGCCCGGUACUGACGCUGAGGCACGAAAGCGUGGGGAGCAAACAGG